AACGAACGCUGGCGGCAGGCUUAACACAUGCAAGUCGAACGCAUCCUUCGGGGUGAGUGGCAGACGGGGGAGUAACGCGUGGGAACGUGCCCUUCAGUUCGGGAUAACCCAGGGAAACUUGGGCUAAUACUGGAUACGUGCGAGAGCAGAAAGAUUUAUCGCUGAAGGAUCGGCCCGCGUCUGAUUAGCCAGUUGGUGGGGUAAUGGCCCACCAAGGCGACGACCAGUAGCUGGUCUGAGAGGAUGAUCGGCCACAUUGGAACUGAGACACGGCCCAAACUCCUACGGGAGGCAGCAGUGGGGAAUAUUGGACAAUGGGCGCAAGCCUGAUCCAGCCAUGCCGCGUGAGUGAUGAAGGCCUUAGGGUUGUAAAGCUCUUUCGUCCUGGACGAUAAUGACGGUACCGGAAGAAGAAGCCCCGGCUAACUUCGUGCCAGCCGCCGCUGUAA
rnacentral:rRNA from 1 species